ACAGGAUGCACCUGACCUCAAUUGUGAGCUUCAUGGCAAAAGCUGUUAAUAUGUAUGUACAUGUACUUUCUUUCUUUAUUUUUUAAAUUUGCAAAAAUCUCAAACUUUUUUCACGUUGUCAUUAAGGCGUGUUGUGUGUACAAUGUUGAGAGGGAAAAUUUAAUUUUGUCUAUUUUGGGAUAAGGCUGUAACAUAAAAUGUGGAAAAAGUGAAGCACUGUGAAUACUUUCUGGAUGCAGUGUUUUUAUAUAUAUAUAUGUAUGUGUGUAUACACACAGUUGACAUGAAAGACUAAACAAAAUAAAUAUCUUGUGUGUCUGCCCACUACAUUAUAAACCUGAGUUCUUUUGGGUGAACUGUCCCACAUCAUGAUUGUUCUAGAUCAUUGUCUUGGUGGGAUCAGGCAUUUGGUCAGAAACCUACAAAUAUCGUUUUCUUGACUUUAAAAUGGGUGUUAUGGACAAAAUUAUCUGUUUGAUUUGGAAAAUUAAUGCGGACGUGUCAGUGUUUUUGGACUUGUGAAGAACAAUUUCAUUUGUGUUGUGUGUGUUGGGGGGUGGGGGGGCAUUCUUGGGCUUCAUUUAUCUUGUAAGGGAGAAGUUUGAUCAUAAAAGCAGCCACACAUAGUCCGCCGUUUGUGCUUCAAAUCUGAGCUGCUAUGAUUUAAAAUAAAGAAUGUGGGGGGAAUGGGCCAUGUACGUAACUCGCAAUUAUGUUGGAACCAGUUGGCAAAACCUUUCCAUCAAGUGUCCACAGGUCAGGUUUCACCCACACCUGCAGCGUGUUCUGUCAGGAGUGUAGCUGGUAGACAUUUUCCAUGCUUGUGUACGGUAUGGGCUAUGAUCUGCGACAUCAGUUAUUAGGUUUGAUAAGGUAAUGUUGGGUUAAUUAUAAAUGUCAGUUUAUGAGAACAUAUUCCAUCACCAAAAUUCAACUCUACCUGUUUUCUGGGUGUUAGUGUGUAACAGUAGUUUUUAUUCUAGUGAUCACAAGCAUGUUACAGUAAUAUUAAUACCUAGGAUUCUAUUUGAUGCACCUUUUUAUGUUGCUUUACCUAGCUACAGUUGAGUUUGUAUUAAAUGUUCUCUACACAAGUACAUUUUACACUUUUUUUUUUACAGCUUGUUCUUUAAUCCAGUUUAGUUUUAUCAAUGAGGAUCAUUUUAAAUGUGCUAAGUUUUGAUUAUUUUGGAUUAAAUGUAAUAAAAAAAAAAUAAGAU